UGUCGUGAGAUGUUCGGUUAAGUCCGGCAACGAGCGCAACCCACAUCCUUAGUUGCCAGCAGUUCGGCUGGGCACUCUAAGGAAACUGCCCGUGAUAAGCGGGAGGAACGGUGGUGGAUGACGUCAAGUCCUCAUGGCCCUUACGGGUUGGGCUACACACGUGCUACAAUGGCAGUGACAAUGGGUUAAUACCCCAAAAGCUGUCUCAGUUCGGAUUGGGGUCUGCAACUCGACCCCAUGAAGUCGGAAUCGCUAGUAAUCGUGGAACAGCAUGCCACGGUGAAUACGUUCCCGGGCCUU
rnacentral:rRNA from 1 species